GGAAGCUGUGCCUGAGUUCCAAGGACUACUUUGAUAGAGUACACCACAGGGGUUAAAAUCCCCUCUCUUCCU
rnacentral:tRNA from 1 species